GCCUACGGGACGCAGCAGUGGGGGAUAUUGCACAAUGGGGGAAACCCUGAUGCAGCGACGCCGCGUGAAGGAAGAAGGCUUUCGGGUUGUAAACUUCUUUUCUCAGGGACGAAGCAAGUGACGGUACCUGAGGAAUAAGCCACGGCUAACUACGUGCCAGCAGCCGCGGUAAUACGUAGGUGGCAAGCGUUGUCCGGAUUUACUGGGUGUAAAGGGCGUGUAGCCGGGUUGACAAGUCAGAUGUGAAAUCCUGCGGCUUAACCGCAGAACUGCAUUUGAAACUGUUGAUCUUGAGUACUGGAGAG
rnacentral:rRNA from 1 species